AGAACACCUCAAUAUAAGUGUAGACAUAUAGUACAGGGGGUCCUUCUUCUGCUAUUUGAAGCUGAUUCUAGUUCUUUGUGAGUCACAAAGAACUACACAACCCCCCGGAAGGCUUGCGAUUCAGUCUUACAUACACCUUCUGUUUCCAACUUGCCCUUACAGUCUGGCUGAGUCACAAGAUGAGCGCUGGGAAGGAGUCUCUGCUCCAGCGUCUCUCGCUGUUCACAAACCUGGAUCCGGUCUUUCUUUGCCCUGACAAGAUAAACUAUGCUCUGAUGCAUUAUUCCACUUGUAAGAGGGGAGUGUGUCAUCCGGCAGUGCUGAGAAGCCCUGUAGACAUGAUGGCGCCGACUUUGACCAGACUGCAAGCUUCUGGAAGACAAGAGCAUCUCUUCAUUCAGCAUGUGGUGCUAAACCUAGCAAUAAAGUACACUGAAAUACUGUGAUUUGAAGUAUUAAAUCAAUGGGAGUAUAUUAAGGCUGGAGACGGUAAGCACUGGGAUACUACACUCUGGAAGAAAACAUGGCAAAAAAGCAGCUCAGUAAGAUUGUUAAUAAGGCAAAAUAUGCUCAGACAGAGCCCAGAGAAUGGCCAUGGAGAACAAGAACCAACCAAAUGCUCUAAAUAAAAAUUCUAGGGGUGCCUGGGUGGCUCAGUUGAUUAAGCGUCUGCCUUUAGCUCACGUAGUGAUCCUGGAGUCCCCGGAUGGAGCCCCAGCAUGAUGGGGGUGGUCCCUGCUCAGCAGGGAAUCUGCUUCUCCCUCUAUCCUUCACCCAGUUUGUUCUCUCUCUCACACGCACUCUCUCAAAUAAAUAAAUAAAAUCUUCAAAAAAUAAAAUAAAAUAAAAAUUCUGAUCAUUCAAGUAACAAGUAUGAUGUUGUAACUAAGGGCCAAAGAUACAAUUUAUUAAGAUGUAAGAUAAACACAAACAUGUGUAUAUCAGAUCAUGCGUUCUUGGAGCAAGUAAUAGAGAUCCAAAUGAGAAUACACAGCUCUAAAGAGAAGAUCGGAAUUUAUCGAUUCAGCGGCUUAAUGAAGCGAGUCAUCAAGGUUCCAGAUUUAUUUUCCUCUAUAACCACAUGGUUGACUUCAUCUUAGACGAGUCCCCAUGCUUGUUGAGGGAUAGCCAACGGAAGCAGCCAGAAAUGCAAGCACUCAUGUUUGUGGACUCGAGGAGAGAUAAAGAGGCCUGUCACAGGAAUGGAGAAAACCUUUCCAAAAUAUUCAGAAAAUUUCCAUAAGUUUCUUUGACCAGACUGGGUUAUAGCUUUUUGUUUUUGUUUUUGUUUUCCCCCAAUAAAACCCAAA
rnacentral:lncRNA from 1 species